AUUGAACGCUGGCGGCAUGCCUUACACAUGCAAGUCGAACGGCAGCACGGGUGCUUGCACCUGGUGGCGAGUGGCGAACGGGUGAGUAAUACAUCGGAACAUGUCCUGUAGUGGGGGAUAGCCCGGCGAAAGCCGGAUUAAUACCGCAUACGAUCUACGGAUGAAAGCGGGGGACCUUCGGGCCUCGCGCUAUAGGGUUGGCCGAUGGCUGAUUAGCUAGUUGGCGGGGUAAAGGCCUACCAAGGCGACGAGCAGUAGCUGGUCUGAGAGGACGACCAGCCACACUGGAACUGAGACACGGCCCAGACUCCUACGGGAGGCAGCAGUGGGGAAUUUUGGACAAUGGGCGAAAGCCUGAUCCAGCAAUGCCGCGUGCGUGAAGAAGGCCUUCGGGUUGUAAAGCACUUUUGUCCGGAAAGAAAUCCUUGGCCCUAAUACGGUCGGGGGAUGACGGUACCGGAAGAAUAAGCACCGGCUAACUACGUG
rnacentral:rRNA from 1 species